CUCCCUCCGUCACUCUAAAAAUGGCAUUUGCAGGCGCACGUUGUUUAAAGCUCCAUCGAAUUCUGUUUAUAACUGUGGGAUUAUGGCCAUAUCAGAAACCAUUUAUUUGGCAAAUACAAGCAGUAUUCUUUUUCAGUGCAUAUUGCUCCAUGGUAUUUUCUCAGUUUACGCCGUUCUUAACGACAACUUGCAACAUGGAAUGUAUCUUAAAAAGAUUUUCUUAUAUUUGUAUUACUUUCGUUUUUAUUUUAAUUUACUACUCAUUCUACUUCAAUUCUGAAGCUGUAAAGCAAGUGUUUCAACAUAUACAGCGUGACUGGAAAAUGUGUAAAAAUAGGUACGCAAUGAAAAUAUUUGAAGAAUAUCUCUCUGAAUCUUAUAGUUUCGCAUUAUUUCUGUGCUUUCUUUGUUUAAUGGGUGCAUCUUUUAUUACGCUUAUGGAAAGUACACCUAUCAUCCUUGAUGUUGUCGCACCAAUGAAUAAAUCUCGACCACGAAAACUUGAAGUAGAUAUUGAAUUCUUCAUCUUCAAUGAAGAACAAUAUUUCUUUUUUUUAUUACUGCUUGAGGGAGCAGCAGCAGGAUUCGGAGUUUGGUCGCUACUUGCGAUUUUCACGUUCUUCACUACAGUAAUGAAACAUUCAUGUGCAACAUAUAAAAUUGUUAGUUAUUUAAUUCGAGAUACGGUACCUAUCCAUACGCUACAACUUCCUGUUGUUCAAAGAAUACAAUAUAUGCAUCGGAAUAUUUGUCUUUCAAUUUACAUUCAUAGGAGAACCUUAGAGUUCUGCAAAGGCUUGUUACUUUCGUUUGAUAUGUGGUAUUUCCCAUUACUCUUAGUUUGCGUCUUGUCCUUAAGUUGCAUUCUAUUUCGCCUAUACAAUGCCAUAAUGCAGUUCAAGGACUUGCAUGAUAUUGUUUGGUCCUGCGGACUUUUGUUUUGUUACUUGGCAUACAUGUUUAUGUCAAAUUUGUUUGCUCAGUCUUACACUGACCACAGUGUAGAAGUAUUAGGAUCUACGAAGCCACCCGGUGCAGCGUAAAGCCGGUAUCCAGUUGAGGGUCAGCUGAGCGGCGACGCGAGUUAAAAAGAAGACGCGAAUCUCCACGCGACGAACCCCUUGGCGACGUAAACAAUAAAUAACCAGAGAGGUGGAGACAAGACUUUGUUAUGACUCCGAUAAGAUGUGUAUUCUUGAGUUGCGCUGAGCUGUACCGUUUCUAACUGAAGUUCAAUAUUUCGGAAGUCACGAGUCUCGCGCGAACGCGUCCCGCGAGUGUGCGAGAGCAUAUGACACUCUUUGGU
rnacentral:misc_RNA from 1 species